UCAUUGUACAAAUCUGCGAACGUGUUUCAUACAAUAUGCACUUUGAUAUCAAUGCCUUUGGUCAACAUGAAGUGUCUUUUUAUUUUUAAUUUUUCUUUUCAUUUUAAGACAAACAAAUUCACACAACCUAAAUUACUGCUAAAAAUUUGUCUUGACCCCUAAAUCUAAGGAAUCAAGACUCCCCAAAAUUAUACCUACCGUUGAAUCCAUUCCCGCCUGUUCUUUCUUCCCUAUUUCCCAUUUGUCAUCUCUCUCUUGCCCUCUCUACCUCCUUUCCCUUUCCCUCUCCCAAUUUCUCUCUCCGUUUUUCUUCGUUUUUUAAUUUGAUUUUAACGAGAAUUGGGGGAUCAGGAAGGAAAAGAAGUAGCAAAUGUAACCACCCCGUAAUUCGUUAUUAUUUUAUGUGAAUCCAGAUUCAAGAAUCCAAUGUAAUGUUUUAUUACUAGUUUCUUGUUUUUCUGGGGAACUUUUCCGUGAAUUCUUCCCCGUUUGAAGAAGAAAUCAAGAUUUUUGGGGCCAGCCCAGUUGGAUCUUUUUGUUGUUUAUUGCAGAUAACAAGAAAUUUCCAGGGCCAGGAUCCAAAAAUAUAGCAAGUUAUUGGGUUUUAGAUCGCGAAAUAAAUUGCCACUUGUUGUUGAAUUAGAAGAAGAGUGAGGAUUUUGAAGCGAUCUCGGAUGCGAGGCGGUGCAAAGAAGAAGAUUUUGCCUGAAUAAUUGAUUUGUGUGCGAUCAAUAUGAAUUCGCCGUUGUUAACUUUGGUAAUUGCUUGUUUAGGGAUUUUCUUUGGUUUCUUUGCUCUCAUUGUUGAGUCUCAACAGAAUGUGAAUCCUCCACCGCCACCUUCUGUCGACAUCGACCCACCACCUCCAUUAGCUCCGCCCCCUCCAUUCGUUCCGCCGCCGCCACCUCCUCCAUUGGCUCCUCCACCUCCAUUUGUUCCGCCACCAUCACCUCCUCCAUUGGCCCCUCCACCUCCAUCACCACCACCGCCUCCUCCUCCUCCACCUCCACCUCCUCCUCCAACUCAAUCACCACCACCUCCGCCGCCCUCACCUCUCGGUCCUCCACUGCCUUCUCCAAGAAAACGUCUUCUCCCACCUCCUUCAAACAAGUCGCAUCCACAUUUGAGCCCCCCACAGUUGAAAGAUAAGCUCAACACGGGGAAGAAAAUCGGGCUAAUGUUUACGGGGAUAGCUGGGAUCCUGCAAGUUUGUGUGGUGGCAUUCUUGUUGAUUAGGAGAAGGCAAAUUUUAAAGGAAGGAGGUGGUUAUUAAACCAAAACUACAACAAUAUAUAUUUGGAUUAAAAUCACAUCAUUUGAAUAUUUUUCUGUUCAAUUAGUUUUCCUUGGUGGAUCAUACUGAAUCCACGGUUCCACUGUAUAGAGAUUCUUUAACUGCGGGCGAAACAUCAAUGGAUUUGAGGACUUAUCGGUACUCUUGUGUCUGCAUCUGGGUUCCAGCUCUUGUAAAUUGGUAAUUAUUGUUUUUGUGAAUAGUUUUUCAUUUGUGUGUUCAUUAUUGUGGAAUGUCAAAUGUUUAUGUUGUAUGCUGAUUCUGUAUAACUAAUAUGUUACCGAAAAUAUGGGUUUAAGAUCCUGUAGUAGAUCUAUCGAUGACUAGAACGUAGCGUGCAAAAGGAUUCACAUAGUUGAACCUAAAUCUAUUUGGGAAUAAAUAUCAUUUUGUGUAGAUUAAAAGAUGAUUAGCUCGGAAUAACAAAUACAGAAGUCAUCACCUGAGUUUUUCUUAUCACCAGAAAUGUCACCAUUUGAGAUUGUCUAAACUGAUAUCAUUAACCAAUUGGAUUGAACUAUUCACUAAAUGAUGGGCGUCGAAUGUUUUCCUGUUCUUAUUAAUCAUUUUUCUAGUUAUAUGGCUUUGAGUAAUUCUGUUGUUGUUAGGUAGUUAUCUAGAAUGCGUUGUUUAUAAGUUUAAAGAAACAGUACGAUGUUUCUAACCUGCUUGUUGUUGGUUAACGAAAAUGACAUUGGGGAAACUGAUCUCUUUAGAGUGCUUGCACAAGUGCUAUCAUAUUUUCUUUACUCUUCUUAGCUUAUGCACAAAUCCAGGAUCAUCUUUCGUGGGAUAACAUCUCUUCCUAUUCAUGUUAAAUGAUUUGCGGUAAUUGCUAAGGAUCCGUUUCCUUGUAUCUUCUUCUAGAUCUAGCAAUGAACUAAACUUAUCUGUCAACUCUUGCUUAUUGUUGCUAGAUAGAAUUGUGAUUCUACGUAUGCCAUUAUUCAUCUGUUGGAUUUUAGCGUGAGGAAAUUGAAAUCUACUAUAGAUAGUUGGUUUUGUAGAAUAGAAUCUGAAAUUCCAGCACCAUUUUGAUAUAUAUGAACUAUAACUUAGUCAUUAAUGCUUUGUGCUUAAUAGUAUUUUUACUCUUUUAGGCUGGCCGACUAAAGGAAACAUCGUUUUGAUGCUGUAGGUGAUUGUGAAAGGAGAGGAUUGACCCGUAGAACCAUUUUCUGUUUGUCAGUAGGGAACGGACUUGGAAUUACUUCUGGAUUGCAACACACUACUUUAUAUAUCUCAUUUGUUCAAGUAAAGAUGUAAUUUAGGAAACCUGAGUUAAAGAUUCAAUUUCCGACUUUUAAUCACCAUAACAGAAAUAUUUUAUUUAUUUUAUAUAAUUUAUAUUGUAAUACUAUAUAUCUUUCUAUGAUGGAAAUCAAAUCUGCCUUUAUUUCAAGAAACAUUCAAAGAUAUCAUCUAACAGGG
rnacentral:lncRNA from 1 species